rnacentral:rRNA from 1 species
ACGGGAGGCAGCAGUGGGGAAUAUUGGACAAUGGGGGAAACCCUGAUCCAGCGACGCCGCGUGAGUGAAGAAGUAUUUCGGUAUGUAAAGCUCUAUCAGCAGGGAAGAAAAUGACGGUACCUGACUAAGAAGCCCCGGCUAACUACGUGCCAGCAGCCGCGGUAAUACGUAGGGGGCAAGCGUUAUCCGGAUUUACUGGGUGUAAGGGGAGCGUAGACGGCAAAGCAAGUCUGAUGUGAAAUGUUGGGGCUCAACCCCGAAACUGCAUUGGAAACUGUUUAGCUAGAGUGCAGGAGAGGUAAGUGGAAUUCCUAGUGUAGCGGUGAAAUGCGUAGAUAUUAGGAGGAACACCGGUGGCGAAGGCGGCUUACUGGACUGUAACUGACGUUGAGGCUCGAAAGCGUGGGGAGCAAACAGGAUUAGAUACCCUGGUA